ACAAUAAAAAGUGAUCACUAUUGGCUGAAUAGUUUUUUGCAGUUGAUGUGGGAAGAUUUGCUCUCAAACUGAUAAAAUUAAUCUCAAAAGAUUAAAAAAAAAAUCUCUCAAACUAACAAAGUGUGCAGUAAAAGGGUUCAAACUUAGUGUUUAUAAUAAAAGAAUAAAAACAUUAUUGCUAUUAUGGAAAACGUAUUUGUUCAGGUUCUGUGAUCUUAAUGCUGCUAAAAUAUCUGCUAUUCAACUUUCUUCCUUCUAGAAUAAAAACUGUGUGCCACUUUCUAGUUUAAAAUCAUGGUACAGGCUUUCUUUUUUUUUUUUUUUUUAGCAACAUCAAUAGAACGCCUGUUAUGACACACAACAGAAAACCACUUGAAGUAUUGCUGUUACUCACUACAGAAGAAUGAUUUGUGCAAAGAUAAGAUGCUUUGGCCUUGAGACACACAUGAGUAAAUUGGGUUCACUGGGACAGAUCAAUGAUGUCAGAGAAGGACAGUCACAUCACUGCAGACUGUGAAGGGGCAGGUGGCAUCAAGGGACAGGAGAGAAGGCAGCAGGAAUGAAAAGGGAAGUACCAUGCACUCACCAAACCUUUCUAAUUGGCUAAGAGCCUGGAAUAUCUUCUCCACUUGGAAAAGGUAGAGAGCAGAGCUGCAUUGUUGUUCUU
rnacentral:lncRNA from 1 species